rnacentral:rRNA from 1 species
GACGAACGCUGGCGGCGUGCCUAACACAUGCAAGUGGAGCGGUGAUAGCAAUAUCAUAGUGGCGCACGGGUGCGUAACACGUACGCAACCUACCUAUUAUUGGGGGAUAGCCUUUGGAAACGGAGAUUAAUACCGCAUAAUACGAUUGACUGGCAUCGGUUGAUUGUUAAAGCUUCGGCGAUAAUAGAUGGGCAUGCGUCCAAUUAGUUAGUUGGUGAGGUAAUGGCUCACCAAGACGAUGAUUGGUAGGGGAUCUGAGAGGAUAAUCCCCCACACUGGCACUGAGAUACGGGCCAGACUCCUACGGGAGGCAGCAGUAGGGAAUAUUGGGCAAUGGAGGGAACUCUGACCCAGCCAUGCCGCGUGCAGGAAGAAGGCGUUAUGCGUUGUAAACUGCUUUUUUAUAGGAAGAAGGAUCUCUUGCGAGAGAAGGUGACGGUACUAUAAGAAUAAGCACCGGCUAACUCCGUGCCAGCCGCCGCCGUAACAC